rnacentral:rRNA from 1 species
AGUGAACGCUGGCGGUAGGCCUAACACAUGCAAGUCGAACGGCAGCACAGUAAGAGCUUGCUCUUACGGGUGGCGAGUGGCGGACGGGUGAGGGAUACAUCGGAAUCUACUUUUUCGUGGGGGAUAACGUAGGGAAACUUACGCUAAUACCGCAUACGACCUACGGGUGAAAGCAGGGGAUCUUCGGACCUUGCGCGAUUAAAUGAGCCGAUGUCGGAUUAGCUAGUUGGCGGGGUAAAGGCCCACCAAGGCGACGAUCCGUAGCUGGUCUGAGAGGAUGAUCAGCCACACUGGAACUGAGACACGGUCCAGACUCCUACGGGAGGCAGCAGUGGGGAAUAUUGGACAAUGGGCGCAAGCCUGAUCCAGCCAUACCGCGUGGGUGAAGAAGGCCUUCGGGUUGUAAAGCCCUUUUGUUGGGAAAGAAAAGCAGCAGGUUAAUACCCCGCUGUUCUGACGGUACCCAAAGAAUAAGCACCGGCUAACUUCGUG